rnacentral:rRNA from 2 species
CGACUCUCGGCAACGGAUAUCUCGGCUCUCGCAUCGAUGAAGAACGUAGCGAAAUGCGAUACUUGGUGUGAAUUGCAGAAUCCCGUGAACCAUCGAGUCUUUGAACGCAAGUUGCGCCCGAGGCCUAUGGCCGAGGGCACGUCUGCCUGGGCGUCACG